UGAGAAGGUCGCAGCAUUCGCAGGAGCAUCGGGAAAAGAUUUCCUGUUUGCCCGAAGGAAUGGCAAGUUCCAAAGAAGAGCCAUGUGACAGGAUCCCUGGUUUGGCAGAGGAGACAUGCGAGAAGACGGAGCGUUUUGGCCGAGGAGACAUCUGGGAGGGUGGAACGGAGAGAACAGGUGUGGUGGAGAGAAGGUCUGAGAAGGUCGCAGGACUCGCAGGAGCAUCGGGAAAAGAUUUCCUGUUUGCCCGAAGGAAUGGCAAGUUCCAAAGCGAGAAAGAAGAAAGAAAUUCCGUGGAUAGGGAGCCAGCCAGGUUUCCUUCAGAGAUUCACGGAAAGCUUUUGAGCAGGGG
rnacentral:lncRNA from 1 species